rnacentral:rRNA from 1 species
CACGUAGGGGACGAGCGUUGUCCGGAUUCAUUGGGCGUAAAGCGCGCGUAGGCGGCUCGGAAAGUCGGGCGUGAAAUGCCGGGGCUCAACCCCGGGACUGCGUCCGAUACUUCCGAGCUGGAGGUAGGUAGGGGAGAUCGGAAUUCCUGGUGUAGCGGUGAAAUGCGUUGAUCUACAGAGGAACACCAAAAAAAGGCGAAGGCAGCCAACUAUUCUAUUCCUGACAUUGAGGCAUGAAAGCGUGGGGAGCAAACCGGG